rnacentral:lncRNA from 10 species
GAACUGGGCUUGAGCAGUGGGAAGGAUUUGGAGAGCGGAGGAAUGAAGGAGAGCAGAGAGGAGAGGCUUGGAGGUGAUGAGAUGAGAGGACAGCUGUUCUCCCCUCACUCAAGGUAGCACUCUGAGGUGUCCAGGAGGCGAUCCACAAAUCAUCCCACUGAGUGUGCUUACAGCCGGUUUCUCCCACCUCAGCCCUGCUGCGAGGAAGGACUAAGAAAAACAGCCUGCAUGGGCCGGGCUUGGAUUUCAAGUUCUCAGAAAAAGUUUGCCAACUCCUGCUCUAGAUUGAUGGUUACAAAGUCUGACAGAGGAUACAGUUACAGGGACAUGGCAAAGCCAGAAAAACGAGGACCGGGAGUCCAGCUUUCAACAAAGCCAAUCUAUUCAAUCUCCAGACUACCCUUUGUACCAAGGACAUUGUUAAGUACCUUCUUAAAGACUGAGUGCAAAAGAGUAUGA